GUCCGCUCGCUGGGACUCGCCUCCUUACCCCCGCGGGGAGGGGUGAGGCGGCCGAGCGUCCGCGAUUUUCUCCUGGGGUCUCCGACGCCCGACCCUCCUUAAUGACUUGCCCAAACUAGCACUGGAGUGUGGGCACCUGAGGGGCUCUCCGGCGGCGCUCGGCAGGGAGUGGCUAAAGGACUUUUCUCCCAAGCUGAAGUAAGGAAAAAGGCAAGAAGAAUGUUAUGAAAAGAAAGAAAUUGUAGUGUGGGGCCAGGAAGGGGAAACUAGAAGACGAACUUGGACAGAGGACGCCUUUGCGAGUUUGGAAGCCGCUGCCCUCUCCAGUUUAUAAAUCCUUUAGGGAACCAGCCUCGAGGGGAAUUGGAGUGGAACAGCCAAUGUCCUUUCCCUCUGGAGUUGUCCUGGUUUUAAAUGUCUUGUCCCGUGUUUCAGAGUCACAUGGAGACUGGAAAAGGAAAUGCUCGGCGUCCUCUCACCCUGUUCUGUUUUGGGUCCGCGAUGCCCUUCUCACUGUAAACAUUGGUUGUGAGCCAUCUGGUCCUAAUCCUGUGGAAUUGGUCUGCUCAGUAAUGACAUUCCCCCACAGACCAGAAAAAUCCUCACGGAGCUGGGAAGCUGUGUGUCGUCAUGUUUCCAGGUGGUAAAGCUGCCCGCUUUUAACUCUGUCAGAAAUUUGGCCCAAAAUUUCAGAAAGAGCCAGAGAGAGGGAGAGUUUCUCGAAAAAGACCACGGGGAGAAUAACAGGCUUCUGCUCUGAAUGCCCUAUGAGCGUUAAGCCAGCUUCUCAUUGAAAAAGGUCACUUGAUCUUAGUAUCUGGCAACUUUAGAAAGCGCUCCCAUCAAGUACCUGUUUGUCAAGGUUGGCAUGUUUACUCCUUGGCUUGGCCACUGCAAUUGCCAAAGUCCUCACAACUCACUGUCUAAGAGAUUCUACCCCUGAAAGCCCGGACACUGUCUUCAUCUGCACCUGAGGAUGGAAGAAAUGUAAAGGGUUCCUCAGUGAUGACCAACAUGUCGGAAAAGGAUUUGCUGCUGGAGGGAAUGCUAUAACCCCAGUGACUCGAGCCGGGAGUCCAGAGACAGUGGGAGAGGCCAGAGAAGCUUACAAGAAAUACAGAGGACAGAAGAACAAGUUUAACAACACCAUGAGAAAACAAUAGACAAAUCCAGAAGGUGGGACAUUCUACAGAACAAUUAGCCCAGAAUCAAGAAGUCAAUGUCAUGAAACUAAAAUGCAUAAUUUUGCAAAGGAGAGGGUAACCAUGGACAAAUCACCUCUCUGUACAACAACACAAGCUACAAAUGGAGUUCUGAGCUGGAAGCAUGAGUCACCCUGAGGUGCGAUGAUCUCUGGAAAGCCAAACUUCCCAGAGAGAAGAAGCUGGGGAGCACAGGAUGCGUAUUGGUGGUCACAAUCAUCCUGCCACAGCCUUGUGACCCAAGGCUCUGCGAUGGAUCAGCCUUCCUACUCACUCCCUCCUGCGCACACCACGUCUCCAUGGAAACAGCUUGUCAGGCCCUGCUUGGCUGCAGGUUCUGAAGACCUCUCAUCUGCAGCCUCAGUCCUGCACAGAUUCAGACUUAAUAAGCCAGGCUUCUUAGUAGGAGCUUGUGUUAGGAGCCCCAUGCUCUCUAGCCAGUGGGGUCUGGAAUUAUCCUUAAACUUCUUUUGGGGUACACCUGGGAAGUCCCUAGCACCACUGAGUUGCCCUGACCUUCCACCACUGAUAUUCAGGCCAGCGGCCGGGUUUCUGCCCUGGGUUCCUGCUUCAACCUGAACUCAUCAUCUGCUUCCAGCAAGCCGUUUCCUCCCAUCAUCUCCCCCCACCCACAAAGGUGAGAGCCAUUCUGAGCUCUUCAGACCCCACCUGUGGUUGAUCACCAGGGACAGUUGGUGCAACCGCCUUUGUAUCUCUCAAACUCAUCUUUCUCUGCAUCCCUAUUACCUCUGCUAUGGUUCAGGCCACGUCAUUUCCUUUUUCAAUUACCGCAAGAUCCUCCAACCUGGUCUUCCUACUUCCAUGCUUGCUUUCCGUGCAUCCACUCUCCACAUGACAACUAGUGAGAAAACUUUCUAAAACAGCAGACCCGACAUGUCCUUCUCCCACAGAAAGUCAGUCAGCAUUUCCCGUUGUUCUCAGGAUUGAUUUCAGCCUGCUCACAUGACACAUAAGAUUACACCUUCAUAAUCUGAUCCCUGCUCACCUCUCCAGGAUUAUCUCUUGCCACUUUUCCUGCAUGUUCUGACCUCAGCCACACCAAACCACUUUACUGCUCCAAUGAGCCGCCUGUUCUCUCUCGCUACUGGGACUUUGCAUUGCUGCCUCCUCCACCUGCAGUGUCCUUCUUCCCCUCCUUCUGUAUAAGCCUUUCACACGUUCCCGGGAAAGCUUUCCCAACUCCCGAAUCUUAAGCUCCUCCUCUGAAUUCUAGAGCUCCUGUGUUUAUUCCCUUUCUGCCUUUCUGCUGAACUGUCAACUCCCCAAGGGCAGAGUGGGCCAACUCUAGCUCAGUGCCUAGCACAUUCACUCAAAUGUCUGUUGUAUAAGUGAAAGAAUGAAGAAUAAGCCUCUGGAAUAAAAAUGUCACCAUAUGCUGAUUAUAAGUAUAUUCUUUUCCAGAGUCUUCUCUUGUCAGGCACCAUUUAUCCACCAGAUUGGACCAGCUAUGAGUUUGCUACACCGCCAGGACACUGCAACUUGGACUGCUGGCCAUUGUCCUUAGGGGCACUUCUACAAAUGGGUCAGUUGCCCCAGCUCAGCUCUGGCUAGUUCUGGUUGCCUCCUUUUUGUUAGUCUCUGGGGAGGUCCCUGCUGGCCUGUGGCUGAACCCGUGUGGCCUCUGUCAGCAGCUGGAGAGCCAUUCCUAAGAGCUGAGAUAGUGAGUCAGCCCUCCUCUCAUUGCCCAGGGAAGAUUCCUUCCUCACUGAUUAUACAGUGUCACCCAGGCUAUGUUUUUCUUAGUGGAACCCAAGAUUUGGAAUCGUUGUAAGAGGAGAAAAUGGCAGAUAAUCUCAGGAAUACACAAGAUCUGUCAUGUUUCUCCAGGAGAAGUAUUUUGGUGGGGGGUGGGGGGAGUGACGGAAGUGGUAAGAGAUCUGUGUUCAUAGAUAAAGAAAUAAAUCAAAGGAGGAGUUGAGUGUAUAUGGACCUUUUCCCCCAGAGAUUUCAAUGGAUUAUCUGGGAAAGAAGCCAGAAAAAGAGACCUCUCACCAGAGGUGGGUGUCCACCCAUGUGGGUACGUAGUGUUAAAGAGCCCCCAGCCUUCAAUGCUGUCCCAUUCACUUUUUCCUAAAUUAACACACCUCUCACCUUCCCAAAAUGAGAAACCAACCAACUUUUUGCUGGGGACCUGGAUAAGACAAAAAAACCAUGGCUUUUGCCUCAAACUGAGUUCCCUUGCUACCAGUGUUGGGCUUUCAAAGACAGAGAGGAGUAAGGACUCUAGAAGAGGCGGUAACAAAGCACAGGCACAAUCUCACUUUCUUCCUUGCAGUAAGAAAGCAAAAGAUCCAUUAGAUGAGAAAGUGUAUGUGAAAGCACUUAGCACAGUGCUUGGCAAAUGGAUGGAAUUCAAUAAUAUUGACUUUUUUUUUGUUUUAUCUACACUCAGUGUAGGGACCCAUAAGGCAGUUUUAUGUGUUGGAAGAAUAACAGGGCAACUGGUGAGAGUGGCGGAGUAUUCUCUACCUGGAUGAUAGCUAAAAUUUUGCCAUUAGAGGUUCUUUCCUUUGACUAUUAAAAAACAAAUACCAAUUAGAGGCAAAACACAUUGUCUUCAGACAUUUCAAGUUUACUAUUAAUGGUUGGUUAUAUUCUUUUCUUUUUACAGGCAGUAGUGGAAAGAACUUAAAGGCAUUAAACAUCAUCGUAGAUGAGGGGAAAGUACAAAUUUUUUAUUUCUCAAAGCUAAACAAAAACCUAUCUGUCUAAAUUGGAAUACUAUUACUCCUAUAACUUCUACUAUAUAAAUAAAUAGUUUUAACAAGUAUAAGGUUCUAGUAGAAACGAGACAGCAAAUGUAGAGACCAAGCAACAACUGGGUCAUCUCCCUCGGUACUGAGGCAGUGUCUUAGUUGGACAGAUUAGGACCGGCAGAUCUUGUCUG